UACGUAGGGCGCAAGCGUUGUCCGGAAUUAUUGGGCGUAAAGAGCUCGUAGGCGGCUUGUCACGUCGGGUGUGAAAGACCGGGGCUUAACCCCGGUUCUGCAUUCGAUACGGGCUGGCUAGAGUGUGGUAGGGGGGAUCGGAAUUCCUGGUGUAGCGGUGAAAUGCGCAGAUAUCAGGAGGAACACCGGUGGCGAAGGCGGAUCUCUGGGCCAUUACUGACGCUGAGGAGCGAAAGCGUGGGGAGCGAACAGG
rnacentral:rRNA from 1 species